GAUGAACGCUGGCGGCGUGCCUAAUACAUGCAAGUCGAGCGAACGGACGAGAAGCUUGCUUCUCUGAUGUUAGCGGCGGACGGGUGAGUAACACGUGGAUAACCUACCUAUAAGACUGGGAUAACUUCGGGAAACCGGAGCUAAUACCGGAUGAUAUUUUGAACCGCAUGGUUCAAAAGUGAAAGACGGUCUUGCUGUCACUUAUAGAUGGAUCCGCGCUGCAUUAGCUAGUUGGUAAGGUAACGGCUUACCAAGGCAACGAUGCAUAGCCGACCUGAGAGGGUGAUCGGCCACACUGGGACUGAGACACGGUCCAGACGCCUACGGGAGGCAGCAGUAGGGAAUCUUCCGCAAUGGGCGAAAGCCUGACGGAGCAACGCCGCGUGAGUGAUGAAGGUCUUCGGAUCGUAAAACUCUGUUAUUAGGGAAGAACAUAUGUGUAAGUAACUGUGCACAUCUUGACGGUACCUAAUCAGAAAGCCACGGCUAACUACGUG
rnacentral:rRNA from 1 species